ACCCCGAGUAGAAAGUGAGGAAGGGUGCCUUAACCGGGAGCCCUCAGAAUGGAGCCUGAGAAAGAGGAGGGAGGGUGGGUGUGAAAGGAGGGCAGGAGAUAGCAGCCCCCAUCCCCCGAGGCCCCAGUCAGUGUCUCUGCAAAUUAAGAACAAGGACCCCUUUGUGGGCUAUGGGGUCGACAGCCCCCAGACAUGGCUUAUCGUAGAGGAAAACCCUCUGUGUGGGCUGAGGUCAGUCCUCACCCUGAAACCCUUGGCCAGGUGCCUCUAUGUAGAGAAAACUGCACAAACAUAUAUGUGGUCCCAGGAAGGAAGGAUCCCAACCCUUUUCUUUUCAUGCUUCUGUGCAUUUCCCAGUCCCUGCUCCCUUUCCCCAGCAGCCUUGGAUUUCCUGCUGUGAGCCUCAGCCCCCAGGCUCUGGGGGAGGAAGCAAGUGCUCAGGGAAAUCAAGACAGGAGAACGGUCAUGAGCUAUGCCGACAGUCAGCAGCUGAUCCCCGACAGAGACACAGCAGACGCAGACGUUGGCAGCAGACAUAGAAUACAGCAAUGGAGGACUCAUGCCACCUGCUCAUGGGCCCUGCCUCUUCACUGUGGUUCAGGUCCUGGUUCUCAUGGGUUUUCAGGUCCAGCUCCUGACGAAACCAUCCCUGUGGGGAGUGCAGGGGCAGAUGGGGACUCCAUGGAGGCAGCCGACCUGCGACAGCCUUCAGUUCCGACAAAGACACAUCACCUUGCAAAUGACACUCUGCCGUCUGGUUUCUGUGUUUUGUUGUAA
rnacentral:lncRNA from 1 species